AGCGAACGCUGGCGGCAGGCCUAACACAUGCAAGUCGAACGAAGUCUUCGGACUUAGUGGCGGACGGGUGAUUAACACGUGGGAACGAGCCUUUAGGUACGGAAUAACUCAGGGAAAAUUGUGCUAAUACCGAAUGGGCCCUUCGGGGGAAAGAUUUAUCGCCUUUAGAGCUGCCCGGGUCUGAUUAGCUAGUUGGGGAGGUAAAGGCUAACCAAUGCACCGAUCAGUAGCUGGACUGAGAGGAUGACCAGCCACAUUGGGACUGAGCACACGGCCCAAACUCCUACGGGAGGCAGCAGUGAGGAAUCUUGCGCAAUGGACGAAUGCCUGACGCAGCCAUGCCGCGUGGAUGAUGAAGGUCUUAGGAUUGUAAAAUCCUUUCACCGGUGAAGAUAAUGACUGUAGCCGGAGAAGAAGCCCCGGCUAACUUCGUGCCAGCAGCCGCAGUAAAAC
rnacentral:rRNA from 1 species